rnacentral:rRNA from 2 species
AGGACCGAAUUCGGCUCAUUAAAUAAGUCAUGGUUUAUUAGAUCAUACGAAUUAUAUGGAUAACUGUGGAAAAUCUAGAGCUAAUACAUGCCACGAUGCUUCGACUUACGAAGAAGUGCUUUUAUUAGAUCAAAGCCAAUGUCGUCUUCGGGCGGCUGGUUUGUGGUGACUCUGAGUAAAGUAAGCUGAUUGCAUUGCUCUUUUGAGCAGGCGACGUAUCUUUCAAGUGUCUUACCUAUCAACUAUCGUUGGUAGUUGAUAUGACUACCAUGGUCGUUACGGGUAACGGGGAAUCAGGGUUCGAUUCCGGAGAGAGAGCAUGAGAAACGGCUGUCACAUCCAAGGAAGGCAGCAGGCGCGCAAAUUACCCAAUCCCAGAUCGGGGAGGUAGUGACGAAAAAUAACGAUGCCGUAAUCUUCGGAUUCGGCAAUUGGAAUGAGAACAAUCGAAAUCCUUUAUCGAGGAUCGAUUGGAGGGCAAGUUCUGGUGCCAGCAGCCGCGGUAAUUCCAGCUCGAAUAGCGUAUGUUAAAUUUGCUGCGGUUAAAAAGCUCGUAGUUGGGUGUCAGAAGAUGAACUGGGCGCUGCCAUGCCAUUGUGCGUAUGUGCAGCAUUGCUCUAGUUUCACUUCUUAAAUGUCACCAUUCCUGCGUCAAGGAAACCCAAUUGGUUUUGGGUGACGCAAACUGGAAGGUGUGAACGAGACUACUUUGAGAAAAUUAGCGUGCUUAACGCAGGCGCUCUUGCUUGUAUACUGUUGCAUGGAAUAAUGAGAUAGGACCUCGGGUUCUGUUUCGUUGGUUUCCCGGAAGUCGAGGUAAUUGAUUGAUAGGGACAAACGGGGGGCAUUUCGUAUUGUUGGUGUAGGAGGUGAAUUCUCUAUUGGAUUCCACCCGCCAAGGGACGAAACCAUC